rnacentral:rRNA from 1 species
GGGACACGUGGUAUCCUGUCUGAAUAUGGGGGGACCAUCCUCCAAGGCUAAAUACUCCUGACUGACCGAUAGUGAACCAGUACCGUGAGGGAAAGGCGAAAAGAACCCCGGCGAGGGGAGUGAAAAAGAACCUGAAACCGUGUACGUACAAGCAGUGGGAGCACGCUUAGGCGUGUGACUGCGUACCUUUUGUAUAAUGGGUCAGCGACUUAUAUUCUGUAGCAAGGUUAACCGAAUAGGGGAGCCGAAGGGAAACCGAGUCUUAACUGGGCGUUAAGUUGCAGGGUAUAGACCCGAAACCCGGUGAUCUAGCCAUGGGCAGGUUGAAGGUUGGGUAACACUAACUGGAGGACCGAACCGACUAAUGUUGAAAAAUUAGCGGAUGACUUGUGGCUGGGGGUGAAAGGCCAAUCAAACCGGGAGAUAGCUGGUUCUCCCCGAAAGCUAUUUAGGUAGCGCCUCGUGAAUUCAUCUCCGGGGGUAGAGCACUGUUUCGGCAAGGGGGUCAUCCCGACUUACCAACCCGAUGCAAACUGCGAAUACCGGAGAAUGUUAUCACGGGAGACACACGGCGGGUGCUAACGUCCGUCG